rnacentral:sRNA from 1 species
ACUGCGAAGCGGGCAACCUGCUUCGCCGCCCAGCUCCAGGGAGAGGAACCGGCGGAGGAGAGGAUCCCGGCCCAGGUGGGGAAUCCAGCUGCUGCCUUUCACAAAAGACCCCCAAAUUAUUUCUGUUGGAGGAGUGUCUUCCAGGAAGGACUAAUGGUGCAGCUCCCCACGGCCCCAGCUCUCCAGCUGCCCCCAUACAGCCUGUUUUGUGCUAGGGCUAUCGCGAUUUGCAAAUUCCUUCUCUAGCUCAAGUGCAUGGACCCAGAAAAUGCCCCUGCUUGAGGGCCAAUGUUGACCAAGACCCUCAGCAGUAAUGUGACCUCUGUGGGAGCAGCACCUCGCAGAGGGCAGAGUUUGGCUCUAUGCUUGUACCAUUGGUGGUAAAUUCUGCUGAGCUCUAUGGAUCCAUCUGGAUGAAAAAGUCUGUAUAAACGCAAGAUCAUUAUCAUUAUCAGCUGUCCCAGUUGGAGCCUACUGAUUCUCAAGCCCACAGUCAAUGGGGCCUUUCCAACAAUUCCAUUCUACAUGGCUUGAAAAAGGUGUAAUUACACGAAGCUGAAUAUCUUCUGGAGAGACAGACACGUUCAUGUCUGUCCCAGGAGUGUUGGAGAGGAAUCUCUCAGGCCCCUCAUUAGGCACAUGGAGAGAGGUGCCCCCCAGGCCUGGCCCAGGUCAGGGACAAGUCAGAAGCUGCAUCUGGAGCAGAUCCAGGAUCUUACCCUGGUGCACACGAGGGGCCAGCAUCGCGCUUGCACAUUUACAGCUCAGGUACUCUGGUUUUACCAGGAAGCUGCUGGGAAGAGAGGGAGGCCGGGGAGUGUCCCAGGAGAAUGCUUCCUUCACUCAUGUUCAUUUUUAACUUUAAAAAAUGGCCUCCAUGAUCCCCAAAAUGGUCUUUUGGUGUGAGGGAAGUGGUUGCUCUAAGGAAAGUCUCUGCUCGACACACACAAAAAUUCUCCUCCAUGACCUUGGACCAUGUCUCUGAUAAGAAGACUGGCUGGGUGAGGAGUCCAGCCUGCUGACCUCCCAUUUGGCCUGAGUCCUCUGUUGCAGGGGUCCUCAAUCCCCAGGUUAGGGAUCAGUACCAGUUCCUCUUAGGAACUGGGCCGCACAGCAGGAGGUGAGCAGCAGGCCAGCCAGCAAGCAUUGCUGCCAGAGCUCCGCCUCCUGUCAGAUCAGUGAUGGCAUUAGUUUCUUGUAGGAGUGUAAACCCCAUUGUGAACUGGCCAUGUGAGGUAUCUAGGUUGCAUGCUCCUUAUGAGAAUCUAACUAAUGCCUGAUGAUCUGAGGUGGAACAGUUUCAUCCCAAAACCACCCCCGCCCACUGUGAACUCAGAGAGACCUCAGCCUAUGGUCAGGUACCAUCUACAGCACUUGUGCCUUAAACACCCAUCAGCAGAUGUGAAGAUUUCCCAAAGCAUGCCUCAAUUUAGGGUGGUGCAAACUAGUGUAGCCUCUUGCCUAUGAAUGAAGACUAAGGGCUCCAUCCAACCAGCUCACUUGUCUGGGUCCAGUCUCCAGGACUCUUCCAGCUUCCCUGUAGUAAAAGAAAACACCUUGGUGGGCAUUGUUCAUUUAUCAGUGCACAGGGCCACGUUGACAGUCUUAAUAUUUAAUGGCUUAUGAGUCUAAUAAUAAAAAAAUUAAAACUCUA